rnacentral:rRNA from 1 species
UACGGAGGGAGCUAGCGUUGUUCGGAAUUACUGGGCGUAAAGCGCACGUAGGCGGCGACUCAAGUCAGAGGUGAAAGCCCGGGGCUCAACCCCGGAACUGCCUUUGAAACUAGGUUGCUAGAAUCUUGGAGAGGUCAGUGGAAUUCCGAGUGUAGAGGUGAAAUUCGUAGAUAUUCGGAAGAACACCAGUGGCGAAGGCGACUGACUGGACAAGUAUUGACGCUGAGGUGCGAAAGCGUGGGAGCA